CACAGCAAAGCCCUUGUGGGGCAACGCAAAGUGGUAGAUGUUGCAGCAUCAUUCGGGCAAAGCGUGGCGCAUCGGCAAAGCCGCA
rnacentral:ribozyme from 1 species